CAGUCGCCGCGGGAAUACGAAGGGUGCAAGCGUUACUCGGAAUUACUGGGCGUAAAGCGUGCGUAGGUGGUGGUUUAAGUCCGUUGUGAAAGCCCUGGGCUCAACCUGGGAAUUGCAGUGGAUACUGGGCAACUAGAGUAAGGUAGAGGAUAGUGGAAUUUCCGGUGUAGCAGUGAAAUGCGUAGAGAUCGGAAGGAACAUCUGUGGCGAAGGCGACUAUCUGGGCCAUUACUGACACUGAGGCACGAAAGCGUGGGGAGCAAACAGGAUUAGAUACCCCGGUAGUCCCUGUCUCUUAUAC
rnacentral:rRNA from 1 species